GACAUGAGGGAAUGGAAGAUGGCAACGGACAAGGCAGGAAACUAGGGCCAAGGCAGUAUGUGCGGUGUAUGGGCGCCGGGCAGUGUGCGGAAAAUAUGAUGGCAGCGGAUUGCGCCGGCAUUGGUAUGGGACAAUGUCAAAUUGACUAAGGCAUGGCUCGAGCAGCCUUAGGGCGGAACGCAACUGGUCAAGAAUUGCACAUGACAAGCACAUGGAAGCGGUUGGCGUAAGUUCCUUGUUUGUAGGCCAUGAUCUCCCAUGUUCCCCCAUUAUCCCCAUGAACUGAUUGUGUUGUAUAGUGGCCUUAAAUUCGUGUAGCAUGN
rnacentral:lncRNA from 1 species